UACUUUGUUGCAGCUCUCCACCGAAGCACACAUCAUCUGCUGCAACCAUCGUGCGUGAUGGCUGUUGCUGUUCCCUGAAGUGAUUGUGAAUCACAUGCAUUGCUGCUGCUCUUCACACAAUUUCUGUUUUCUUCUUCUUGCUGGAUGCAGAAACUCCAGGUUUUCUGAGCUCUCCACUGUAAUCGUUAAUUUAAGUUUUUAUGUUGCAGAGGAAUGCUGAUGAAGGAGGUUAGGAGAAUUGUGCGGAUUCGGUAGAGGGGGAGGGGGUCGCUGCUCCAGGAGGUGGAAUUGUGGUGCACAGUGCGCCGGAGAGUACGUUGGAAUUGUUUCUGAUGGAUCCUGUUGGUGUUCAUUCUCAUCGGCAACGGGAACACUGUUACAGUGGUGGAGCUGCUGUACUUGAGCCCUACUAACACCAUCCUGACAGCUUGGGAACGCUUUCAUGCUGGAGCGCAAUUAACCUUUCUCAUCAUACCGUUGAAGCAGCUUUCACUGACUACGUCUCUACCACAGCUUGUGAAGUCACUUUAAAGGCAUCAUUUAUAUUUGGUCUUGAAUGUGGUAAGAAACUGAUUUGAUUCCGGAAGUGCAAGGUCGACGACAUUGUCCACAUGUUCAGGAGCAGGUUGAAAGUCCAUGCCGGAAGACUGCAGGAGGAUUCUAGAGCUAGUUAUUCAGGUACUCCAUCCAAGUCCCUUCUCAAGUAUAAUUUCAUAGCGCACACGUGCCAGAUGGUGUUUCACAUGUCAUAUGUUUGUCUCUUUCCUAGAUCCUUCAUUCGAUUACUAUACAAAAGCUAGAAUUGUGACCAGAUUCUUGAUGCGGCCAAAGGCUAGCGUUCCCCUCAAAAUCAACAAUGCUGUGGUUAAUUACCCCUAAUUCUUAUCUCUAACUCCGACAAUUUCUUGGAAAAACGUCGGAGCUCGCUUUCGACUAAUUAGUGAGCAUUGAUGCCUAAAUGUCUGGAUGGAAGGACUAAAUGUUGUUUGUUUUGCCGUCAAAUACAACUGACCCUUGUCAAGACAGGUUAUUAGCCCAUGAGUCUUGCAAAAUUCUUCCGUAUCAUCCUCCUUCAUUAGUAAAAGUUCGGCGAUAUCCCCCAGCAGGAAGGGGUGCGUUUUGUAUCCGCCGCAAUUUAUGGCCCUUAAAGCUAACGUGCGUAUCUCUCCAAAGUACAACUCCAUUAAGCAGCCUUGAAGGGGCCUGUAGCACCAGGGAUCGCACCCUGCGGAACCACAGUGCAAGCGGUUCGGCCUGCAACAUCGUGUCAGAUCACACCAUGUCAGAUCGUGCAAGCCAAUAAGAGUUCUAUUCAGCAUGUAAUGACUACUAGCUUGCGAACUCCACACCUGAACGAACCAUCGAUGUGCAAGCAUGAACUGCACAAAAAGACCAACCUUGGAAUGGCCUCUAUCUCCCAAGUUCAACAACACGUAGUAACCGUGAAAUUCUGCCUCGUGCGCCCAUCCAGAGCUUGCUUCAGCUUCAACGGCACUAUACAAGUUGAGGAGUGUGAGUAAAGAUUUGGAGAGCUGCUGGAGAUUCAGUUGCGAAUCUGCAUCAUUUCUAAGGCCUGCUAUUUGUUCCUGCAACUCCCUCUCUGACAUGAUGUGAAACCUCACCUGCAUACAAAUCAUCAAGUUAGGGGUUACUUAUUGCGCUAGCGGCACUAAUCCUCCUAGUCCAGCGAAGCAAGCAUGCAUGCCAGCGAUGAGUAUGCUAAGCCACUAAAAAGAACAAUUAUGAAGUUUGAACUGUACCAAGCACAACACUCACAAUUUCCUCAA